rnacentral:piRNA from 1 species
GCUCUUUCUCACAUUCUUCUCCAGGGCCUGU